CGUAGGUGGCAAGCGUUGUCCGGAUUUAUUGGGUUUAAAGGGUGCGUAGGCGGUUUUCUAAGUCAGCAGUGAAAUACGGCAGCUCAACUGUCGAAGUGCUGUUGAUACUGGGGAACUUGAGUACUGAUGAGGUAGGCGGAAUGGACGGUGUAGCGGUGAAAUGCUUAGAGAUCGUCCAGAACACCGAUAGCGAAGGCAGCUUACUAAGGAGUAACUGACGCUGAGGCACGAAAGUGUGGGGAUCAAACAGGAUUAGAUACCCUGGUAGUCCACACUGUAAACGAUGAUUACUCGAUGUGUGCGAUACACGGCACGCGUCUUAGCAAAAGCGAUAAGUAAUCCACCUGGGGAGUACGCCGGCAACGGUG
rnacentral:rRNA from 1 species